rnacentral:tRNA from 1 species
GACAGCGUGGCAUAGUGGUCUGAGUGUUGGACUAUGACUCUGGAGACCAGGCUUUGAAUCCCAGCUCAGCCA